UACGGGGGGGGCAAGCGUUGUUCGGAAUUACUGGGCGUAAAGGGCUUGUAGGUGGCCAACUAAGUCAGACGUGAAAUCCCUCGGCUUAACCGGGGAACUGCGUCUGAUACUGGAUGGCUAGAGUUUGGGAGAGGGAUGCGGAAUUCCAGGUGUAGCGGUGAAAUGCGUAGAUAUCUGGAGGAAUACCGGUGGCGAAGGCGGCAUCCUGGACCGACAUUGACGCUGAUGAGCGAAAGCUAGGGGAGCAAACGGG
rnacentral:rRNA from 1 species